ensembl:snRNA U6 U6 spliceosomal RNA
CAUGUUGACAGUACAUGUCCUAAACAUUGGACUGAUAGAGAAAAGAUUAGACCAUCAUGGCCUUUGUACAAGGAUGAAAAAAGAAUUCAUGAACCACACCAUAUUUUA